rnacentral:rRNA from 1 species
UACGGAGGAUCCAAGCGUUAUCCGGAUUCAUUGGGUUUAAAGGGUGCGUAGGCGGAAUGGUAAGUCAGUGGUGAAAGCCUGCAGCUCAACUGUAGAAUUGCCAUUGAUACUGCCAAUCUUGAGUAUAAUUGAAGUGGGCGGAAUGUGUCGUGUAGCGGUGAAAAUGCUUAGAUAUGACACAGAACACCGAUUGCGAAGGCAGCUCACUAAAACUAUAACUGACGCUGAGGCACGAAAGCGUGGGGGAUCAAAACAGG